UCUCUCUCUCUCUCUCUACAAAUGCUGCUGUCUGACAGAAACUUUCUCCAAUAGUGUUCCAAAAUAUCUCAUUUAAUCCGGUUUUCUAUUCCAUUUUCAUCAUCUGUCUUUUAGUUCAUGUUCAACUCUCUAAUGGAUGCAAGAAUACACCAAUUUCUUCUGUUUCUGUUUUCUGUUCAUCUGCUUUUGGUUUUCAACUGCACAAAAUGAUGAUGGAACAUCCAUCGAUCUUCAACAUGAAUUUUCAACGUCAGGAAUUCAUUAAUGCCACUUUUGGAUUCAGAUAACUUUCCGUUCAUCACAAUCCGGAGGAAUGCUUCACAAAGAAAGGAUUGCGAAACUGAAAAAAAAGGGGUUCUCAUUGUUAACAAUGCUCGAAGAGCUAUAGUGGAUACACAAGCCGUUGUCGAUGGCUGUUCUAGUGGUCACAUCGGAGGCAAGUUUAACCUGAAUUCGUAGUUUACUUUAGGUUGUUAGUUUAGUUAAAGUUAAGUGUUUGUUUUUUAACAUCAGUUUCAGCGUAUAGUGGAGAUGUUUGGUACCCACAACCAGCUCUAAAGGAUCACCCGUGGAGAUAUUAUGCAGUUGUGAUAUGUGGCUAGAGUGAAAGAUAUGUUGGAGAAUUAUUUCAAGGGAGAAGACUUCCCGGCCCAACAUUACAUUGUGAAGGAGGGUGAGCUAGCAGGCAAGUACCGUUGAUUCGCCCGGUUGCCAAACCAUCUCCACUUCGCUUGCACCGCUGCUGAACCACCGCUACUUCAGGUGCUGUGAACGCUUCAGUCUUAGUUGGUAUGCCCAGUGCAGAACCUACCUUGACAUCUAAUCAUCGAGUUCAUCCAAAAUAGACUUAUGGAAGUAAUAAUAGAAGGUAGACAAACCAACAAGGUACUUACUGGUCGAAAGAACCUGAGUAAGUGUCACACCCCGGCCGCGUUAAAACAACAAACCGCACCGCGGCGGAAACGCCGGGGAGAAAAACAAUGCUUUAUGAUUACAAAUGUGACAACCUGCAAUUAACGGCUUCUAAUUACGCGAUUAACAAACGCUUAAGGCGACGACCGACGGUGUUUUGUCGAGCAGAUCCACCCGAACACCCUCCUUCACCGACAACAUCACGACCCCCCCCCCUCGGCUACAUGCCCGACCGGUGAAACCGGCUCCGCUGGUGACGUUGGAGAUGAUGAUACAGACUGAUGACCAAGGUUGAAGCUGAUGAUGACGACGCUGCUGAGGAAUCGGGUCAGAUCUGGCCGGAAUCGGCUCCGGCCGCUUCAUUCCUGUUGAUGACGAUUAUGUUUUCCGAUGAUUGUGAUGAUGUUGACGAGAAGAUGGUGAUGGUAGGGGGGUUGAAGCCAGCGAUGACUGCACAUGGUGGCAGCGCCGCCGCUCACAGCGGCGGUGGUAUCUUCUCCCGUCAAGUUCUCCGGUAAAUCAUCGUUCCCUUUCAUGGAUAUUUGUGUCACUGAUGAUGAUGAUUUGAUUUUUUUUAUUAUUUGUUUCGAGGGCACGGUUCAACAGUUGGGUUCGGUUCAACACCAGGCUCGGAUUUCGUGUCGGGCUCUGGUUCAGCAAGUUAAAGUAUGUUUCGAGUCAAAGUUUCGGGUCAAACCCGGUUAACUCGGUCAACACCCGAGUCAACUCGAGUUAACAGACGGUCAACUGUUAGUCAACAGGUCAACAGCUGGACAACGCCAGUCAAACAUCAUCUCGGGUCAGUUUUGAGUAUGCGGUUUACUUUUGGUUCGGUCUCGAUUCACCUCAAGUUUGUUCGGUUCGACAGGUUCGGAUUCAAUUCAAAACGGGUCA